GAGUUCAUAUUGUCCAAACGGUUUGACACCUCGAUUAAAUAAAGAGUCACAGUCGAGGUUAAAUCGGGUGAAUUGCGGGAAACUCUCAUUACUUAACUCAAUAGUGAGACAAUCCGCAGCCAAGUCUAUUAAGGUAUUUUAGUUUACUAAAUCGUAGUAGAAAGGUUCAACGACUAGAAGGUGAGUCAUACCAACAAUAAUCCUUCCACGAGCGCCCGACAAUUAUACCUUGUUUAAAUUGUAGCUAAGUAGGUUAAUAUAGGUACUGGAAGCAUCUUUUGAAAUAAUAAGAUAUCCAG
rnacentral:ribozyme from 1 species